rnacentral:rRNA from 1 species
UAGGGAAUAUUGGACAAUGGGCGAAAGCCUGAUCCAGCAAUGCCGCGUGAGUGAUGAAGGCCUUAGGGUUGUAAAGCUCUUUUACCAGGGAUGAUAAUGACAGUACCUGGAGAAUAAGCUCCGGCUAACUCCGUGCCAGCAGCCGCGGUAAUACGGAGGGAGCUAGCGUUGUUCGGAAUUACUGGGCGUAAAGCGCACGUAGGCGGCCAAUCAAGUCAGGGGUGAAAUCCCGGGGCUCAACCCCGGAACUGCCCUUGAAACUGGUAGGCUAGAAUACUGGAGAGGUGAGUGGAAUUCCGAGUGUAGAGGUGAAAUUCGUAGAUAUUCGGAGGAACACCAGUGGCGAAGGCGGCUCACUGGCUCGAUACUGACGCUGAGGUGCGAAAGCGUGGGGAGCAAACAGGAUUAGAUACCCCCGUAGUCC